AACGAACACUGGCGGCAUGCCUAACACAUGCAAGUCGAACGAGACCUUCGGGUCUAGUGGCGCACGGGUGCGUAACGCGUGGGAACCUGCCCUUAGGUUCGGAAUAACUCCCCGAAAGGGGUGCUAAUACCGGAUAAUGUCUUCGGACCAAAGAUUUAUCGCCUUUGGAUGGGCCCGCGUUGGAUUAGCUAGUUGGUAGGGUAAAAGCCUACCAAGGCGACGAUCCAUAGCUGGUCUGAGAGGAUGAUCAGCCACACUGGGACUGAGACACGGCCCAGACUCCUACGGGAGGCAGCAGUGGGGAAUAUUGGACAAUGGGCGAAAGCCUGAUCCAGCAAUGCCGCGUGAGUGAUGAAGGCCUUAGGGUUGUAAAGCUCUUUUACCCGGGAUGAUAAUGACAGUACCAGGAGAAUAAGCUCCGGCUAACUCCGUG
rnacentral:rRNA from 1 species